UUUAUUUUUCUUUUUAUUAAAGUGCUUAAGUAGAUUGAACAGUGUUAUCAAUAAUCAACACAAACUUUACUGAAAUAUUCACAAAUAAAAAUCCUCUACUUUAUAAAUCAUUCAAAUAGCUAUGUAGUAAUAGUAAUCAGCAUUGGAAGUUGGUUAAUCUGAAUUUAUUCCUAACCACACAUAUGGGUUGUCAAAUUAGGAGAUUCAAUCCAAUUACCUUGCAUAUGGGCUCACUGUCAAUACCUGAAAGCUAGUCCCAGCAAGUCAGUGGAAAAAAUGAUGUGUUUUGAAACUAAUCAUUUAUCCUUGAUGCUUCCGUUUUUCCAUCUGCACUGAGAAUCUUCCCUUAGAGUUAUAAAUAAAGUAUGAAACAUUAAAGCUUAGCAUACUCUGUGCCUCAGAAAGCAUUCAUGUGUGUAUUUUUAAAGCGGCAACUUACUUGUUCUUGACACAAAUUGAAUACUAUAUGGCUUUAAAAGAAACAGAUUGAUGAUUGCUCUUUCCUUGAAAAUUGUCUUUUCACUCGAAUCACAUUAAAAUCAUACUAGCCUGACACCAGGUUAAUAAAAUUCAUAGAAGAUAUGUUCAGUAAGUUAUUUUGAUUGCAAUGAGGACUGCUGUCCUACUUAUGUAAAAUUUACAAAUUAUUUUAAGUUUCAUCCAUUCAUUCUUCAUGACCUUCCAUAAAAACAGAAAUCCUGCCACCCUAAAGCACAAAGAAGUAAAAUAGAAAGUUUACUUAUUAGAUUUUGAUACAGUUCCUUUGGAUAUUGUCAGGUACUCUUAUCAUAACUACACAGAGUGGUUGACAAAGGGCAGGGUAAAUAAGCCAAUUUUGACUAGAGCUACCAGCAUAAAGUGGCCUGGUGCCAUCAUAAAAAGAUUCAGUGGUGUCUAUGUUUGGGGAGAGUGGCAUUUAAAAUAAAAAAGCUUGAUGAUAUAUAUGACAAAAUUGUGGGGACAGAAGAAAAAUAAAAUGAUCCUAACUGAAUUAGAAACUUUUCUAAAAACCUGUUUUCUUUUGGGAAGUAUGUGAUUCUGCUAUAAAAGAGAGAAGUGUGAAGAGAUUGGUACAUCAACCCUUAUAGUUUCAAUAAAAUGUGUAAUACUUUUAGGUAAAAGCAGUAUUGCUAAAUCUCCACAUGACAUUUUGAAACUGCUAGCAAUAAAAGGAAAAAAGGCAUUAGUCAACAUUGGAGAAGAAGAAAAAUGGUAAGCUGUGAUGCUCUUGUUCUUUUCAAUUAAAAAAUAAAUCGAUCAUAAGCACAAAUGGACAGGCCAUCUCAAUAAAUAAACCUCCUGUAGUUAACCUGUCAUUUAAAAAAUGAAUUGGAUGAAACGGAUAAUUUUCUGCAGUGUACUCAGCCAUUUUAAGACUAAAGUAGUUUCAAAAAAACAUGAAACAUCUUUAGAGAAGGCCUGAUUAUUUCAUAUUAGUUGCGGCUCUUUAAAAAUUUCAGAGGACUCCAUGUCCUACACAGAGUACACAAGGAAAUAAUUUUCACACUGAACAUAGAUCCCUCAGGGAAUAAAGAAAAAAAAAAAAAAA